rnacentral:rRNA from 1 species
GUAGCAAUACUAGAGACCGGCGCACGGGUGCGUAACGCGUAUGCAACCUACCUUUUACAGAGGGAUAGCCCAGAGUAAAUUUGGAUUAAAUACCUCAUAGUCGUUAUUAGAUGGCAUCAUUUGAUAACUAAAGUUCCAACGGUAAAAGAUGGGCAUGCGUCCUAUUAGCUAGAUGGUAAGGUAACGGCUUACCAUGGCUACGAUAGGUAGGGGUCCUGAGAGGGAGAUCCCCCACACUGGUACUGAGACACGGACCAGACUCCUACGGGAGGCAGCAGUGAGGAAUAUUGGACAAUGGGCGCAAGCCUGAUCCAGCCAUGCCGCGUGCAGGAAGAAGCAUCUAUGGUGUGUAAACUGCUUUUGUACGGGAAGAAACACUCCUACGUGUAGGAGCUUGACGGUACCGUAAGAAUAAGGAUCGGCUAACUCCGUG